rnacentral:rRNA from 1 species
UUAGCGGCGGACGGGUGAGUAACACGUGGGUAACCUGCCUGUAAGAUUGGGAUAACUCCGGGAAACCGGAGCUAAUACCGGAUAACAUUUYGAACCGCAUGGUUCRAAAUUGAAAGAUGGUUUCGGCUAUCACUUACAGAUGGACCCGCGGCGCAUUAGCUAGUUGGUGAGGUAACGGCUCACCAAGGCAACGAUGCGUAGCCGACCUGAGAGGGUGAUCGGCCACACUGGGACUGANACACGGCCCANACUCCUACGGGAGGCAGCAGUAGGGAAUCUUCCGCAAUGGACGAAAGUCUGACGGANCAACGCCNCGUGAACGAUGAAGGNCUUCGGGUCGUAAAGUUCUGUUGUUAGGGAAGAACAAGUACCAGANUAACUGCUGGUACCUUGACGGUACCUAACCAGAAAGCCACGGCUAACUACNUGCCAGCAGCCGCGGUAAUACGUAGGUGGCAAGCGUUGUCCGGAAUUAUUGGGCGUAAAGCGCGCGCAGGCGGUUUCUUAAGUCUGAUGUGAAAGCCCACGGCUCAACCGUGGAGGGUCAUUGGAAACUGGGGAACUUGAGUGCAGAAGANGAGAGUGGAAUUCCACGUGUAGCGGUGAAAUGCGUAGAGAUGUGGAGGAACACCAGUGGCGAANGCGACUCUCUGGUCUGUAACUGACGCUGANGCGCGAAAGCGUGGGGAGCGAACAGGAUUAGAUACCCUGGUAGUCCACGCCGUAAACGAUGAGUGCUAAGUGUUAGAGGGUUUCCGCCCUUUAGUGCUGCAGCAAACGCAUUAAGCACUCCGCCUGGG